CCUACGGGGGGCAGCAGUGGGGAAUAUUGCACAAUGGGGGGAACCCUGAUGCAGCGACGCCGCGUGAGUGAAGACGGAUUUCGGUAUGUAAAGCUCUAUCAGCAGGGAAGAAAAUGACGUUACCUGACUAAGAAGCCCCGGCUAACUACGUGCCAGCAGCCGCGGUAAUGCGUAGGGGGCAGGCGUUAUCCGGAUUUACUGGGGUUAAAGGGAGCGCAGACGGCUGUGCAAGUCUGGAGUGAAAGGCGGGGGCCCAACCCCCGGCCUGCUGUGGAAACUGUAAAGCUGGAGUGCAGGAGAGGUAAGCGGAAUUCCUGGUGUAGCGGUGAAAUGCGUAGAUAUUAGGAGGAACACCAGUGGCGAAGGCGGCUUACUGGACUGCAACUGACGUUGAGGCUCGAAAGCGUGGGUAGCAAACAGGAUUAGAUACCCUUGUAGUC
rnacentral:rRNA from 1 species